rnacentral:rRNA from 1 species
CUCCUAUUGGAGGCAGCAGUGGGGAAUAUUGCACAAUGGGGGAAACCCUGAUGCAGCGACGCCGCGUGAGCGAAGAAGUAUUUCGGUAUGUAAAGCUCUAUCAGCAGGGAAGAAGAAUGACGGUACCUGACUAAGAAGCACCGGCUAAAUACGUGCCAGCAGCCGCGGUAAUACGUAUGGUGCAAGCGUUAUCCGGAUUUACUGGGUGUAAAGGGAGCGCAGGCGGUGCGGCAAGUCUGAUGUGAAAGCCCGGGGCUCAACCCCGGUACUGCAUUGGAAACUGUCGUACUAGAGUGUCGGAGGGGUAAGUGGAAUUCCUAGUGUAGCGGUGAAAUGCGUAGAUAUUAGGAGGAACACCAGUGGCGAAGGCGGCUUACUGGACGAUAACUGACGCUGAGGCUCGAAAGCGUGGGGAGCAAACAGGAUUAGAUACCCUGGUAGUCCACACCGUAAACGAUGAUUACUAGGUGUUGGAGGAUUGACCCCUUCAGUGCCGCAGUUAACACAAUAAGUAAUCCACCUGGGGAGUACGACCGCAAGGUUGAAACUCAAAGGAAUUGACGGGGGCCCGCACAAGCAGUGGAGUAUGUGGUUUAAUUCGACGCAACGCGAAGAACCUUACCAAGUCUUGACAUCCUGCGACGGUUCUGGAAACAGAACUUUCCUUCGGGACGCAGAGACAGGUGGUGCAUGGUUGUCGUCAGCUCGUGUCGUGAGAUGUUGGGUUAAGUCCCGCAACGAGCGCAACCCUUAUGGUCAGUUACUACGCAAGAGGACUUUGGCCAGACUGCCGUUGACAAAACGGAGGAAGGUGGGGAUGACGUCAAAUCAUCAUGCCCUUUAUGACUUGGGUCUACACUACGUACCUACUAAUGGCGUUAUAACAACAGAGCAACGCAUAGAGCCAGCGACGGUCGGAGCGAAAAGCUCAGUAAACAAGCGUCCCGAGUUCGGACUGCAGGCCUGCAACUCGCCUGCACGAAGUCGGAAUUGCUAGUAAUCGUGGAUCAGCAUGCCACGGUGAAUACGUUCCCGGGCCUUGUACACACCGC